UGGGGAAUAUUGGGCAAUGGGCGCAAGCCUUACCCAGCAAUGCCGCGUGAAUGAAGAAGGUCUUCGGAUUGUAAAGUUCUUUAGUCAGGGACGAAAAAAAUGACGGUACCUGAAGAAUAAGCCCCGGCUAACUACGUGCCAGCAGCCGCGGUAAUACGUAGGGGGCAAGCGUUGUCCGGAAUGACUGGGCGUAAAGGGUGUGUAGGCGGUUUGGCAAGUUGGAAGUGAAAUACCUAGGGCUUAACCCAGGUGCUGCUUUCAAAACUGUUAGACUUGAGUGCAGGAGAGGUUAAUGGAAUUCCUAGUGUAGCGGUGGAAUGCGUAGAUAUUAGGAGGAACACCAGAGGCGAAGGCGAUUAACUGGCCUGUAACUGACGCUGAGACACGAAAGUGUGGGGAGCAAACAGG
rnacentral:rRNA from 1 species